UUUGGACAAAGUGCGCAAGCCUGAUCCAGUCAUGCCGCGUGAGUGAAGAAGGCUUUAGGGUAUUAAAGCUCUUACGGUCGUAAAGAAAUCGCUCAGCCUAAUCCCCUGCGCGGAUGAUGGUUCAGCCAUAAGAAGCACCGGUUAACUACGUGCCAGCAGCCGCAGUAAUACGGAGGGUGCGAGCGUUAACCGGAAUUACUGGGCGUAAAGCGUGCGCAGGCGGUUGAUUAAGACAGGCGUGAAAUCCCCGGGCUUAACCUGGGAACUGCGCUUGUGACUGGUCAGCUAGAGUACGGCAGAGGGGGGUGGAAUUCCACGUGUAGCAGUGAAAUGCGUAGAGAUGUGGAGGAACACCGAUGGCGAAGGCAGCCCCCUGGGCCGAUACUGACGCUCAUGCACGAAAGCGUGGGUAGCAAACAGG
rnacentral:rRNA from 1 species